GAUUGCCAGGGACAAAAUCCAUGGAUAUUGGAGUCCUGAAUAAAACAUCUAUUCCAUAUAUUGCACUAAAACUUGACCUUGCUCUGAUUCGGGAUACAAAUAAAGAUAUUUCCAUUUGCUUAAAAUUAAAUGUACCUAUGGUUUUCAGGGGUUACAGGUUGGUGGGCACCCUGGUAGUUGGGGAUAAUGGUUUUCAGGGGUUACAGGUUGGUGGGCACCCUGGUAGUUGGGGAUAUUCACCGGGAGCAGGAUACACUGGGUCGCUGUAGGAGUCGAGCAUCCUCUUUGCCCCACUUGUAUUUGUAUUGAUGUUCUCGUUGCCCACCACCUU
rnacentral:lncRNA from 1 species